rnacentral:rRNA from 1 species
GACGAACGCUGGCGGCGUGCCUAAUACAUGCAAGUAGAACGCAGUUGCGAACGGGUGAGUAACGCGUAGGUAACUGCCUCAUAGCGGGGGGUAACUAUUGGAAACGUUAGAUAAUACCGCAUCCUGUGAGAUGGACCGGCGUUGUAUUAGCUAGUUGGUGAGGUAAAGGCUCACCAAGGCGACGAUACAUAGCCGACCUGAGAGGGUGAUUGGCCACACUGGGACUGAGACACGGCCCAGACUCCUACGGGAAGCAGCAGUAGGGAAUCUUCGGCAAUGGGCGGAAGUCUGACCGCGCAACGCCGCGGGAGUGAAGAAGGGUUUCGGGUCGUAAAGCUCUGUUGUGAGGGGAGCGGUAACUAACCAGAAAGGGACGGCUAACUACGUGCCAGCAGCCGCGGUAAGUC